UACGUAGGGGCUAGCGUUAUCCGGAAUUACUGGGCGUAAAGGGUGCGUAGGUGGUUUCUUAAGUCAGAGGUGAAAGGCUACGGCUCAACCGUAGUAAGCUUUGAAACUGGGAAACUUGAGUGCAGGAGAGGAGAGUGGAAUUCCUAGUGUAGCGGUGAAAUGCGUAGAUAUUAGGAGGAACACCAGUUGCGAAGGCGGAUCUCUGGACUGUAACUGACGAUGAGGCUCGAAAGCGUGGGGAGCAAACAGGAUUAGAUACCCUGGUAGUCCCUGAG
rnacentral:rRNA from 1 species